CUGCGGAAGGUCAUUAAUAAACCUAGUCGUUCGCGUACAUAGGGGCAACCCUCGCGUGAUGUCAGCAAUACCUAGGUAACCCUUGAAUAAACUACCCUUGUUGCUUUGGCGGGUCGCCUUUUAGGCCAGCGGCUUCGGCUGCUGCGUGUCCGCCAGAGGACCACAACUCUUGUUUUUAGUGAUGUCUGAGUACUAUAUAAUAGUUAAAACUUUCAACAACGGAUCUCUUGGUUCUGGCAUCGAUGAAGAACGCAGCGAAAUGCGAUAAGUAAUGUGAAUUGCAGAAUUCAGUGAAUCAUCGAAUCUUUGAACGCACAUUGCGCCCUUUGGUAUUCCGAAGGGCAUGCCUGUUCGAGCGUCAUUAUAACCACUCAAGCCUUCGCUUGGUAUUGGGGUUCGCGCUUCCGCGGCCUCUAAAAUCAGUGGCGGUGCCUGUCGGCUCUACGCGUAGUAAUACUCCUCGCGUCUGGGUCCGGUAGGUUGCUUGCCAACAACCCCCAAUUUUUUACAGGUUGACCUCGGAUCAGGUAGGGAUACCCGCUGAACUUAAGCAUAUCAAUAAGCGGAGGAAAAGAAACCAACAGGGAUUACCUCAGUAACGGCGAGUGAAGCGGUAACAGCUCAAAUUUGAAAGCUAGCUCUUUUAGGGUUCGCAUUGUAAUUUGUAGAAGAUGCUUCGGGUGUGGCCCCGGUCUAAGUUCCUUGGAACAGGACGUCAUAGAGGGUGAGAAUCCCGUAUGUGACUGGGUGCUUUCGCUCAUGUGAAGCUCUU
rnacentral:rRNA from 1 species